GACGAACGCUGGCGGCGGGCUUAACACAUGCAAGUCGAACGGAAAGGCCCUGCUUUUGUGGGGUGCUCGAGUGGCGAACGGGUGAGUUACCCGUGAGUAACCUGCCCUUGACUUUGGGAUAUCUUCAGGCAACUGGGGCUACUACCUGAUUGGAGCUCCUGCUGCAUGGUGGGGGUCGGAAAGUUUCGGCUGUUGGGGAUGUACUCGGGGCUUAUUAGCUAGUUGGUGGGGUAAAGGCCUAGCAAGGCGACGACCGGUAGUCGGUCUGAGAGGAGGAUCAGGCACACGGGAACUGAGACACGGUCAAGACGCCUACGGGAGGCAGCAGUGGGGAAGAUUGGACAAUGGGCGAAAGCCUGAUCCAGCAAUGCCGCGUGUGUGAAGAAGGUCUUCGGAUUGUAAAGCACUUUAAGUGGGGAGGAAGGGCAGUAAGUUAAUACCUUGCUGUUUUGACGUUACCAACAGAAUAAGCACCGGCUAACUUCGUG
rnacentral:rRNA from 1 species